rnacentral:rRNA from 1 species
UAGGGAAUAUCGGUAAUCUGGGAAACCGGGAACCAGCAACGCCGCGUGUGCGAUGAAGGCCUUCGGGUUGUAAAGCACUUUUUGAGGGGAUGAGGAAGGACAGUACCCUCAGAAUAAGCCUCGGCUAACUACGUGCCAGCAGCCGCGGUAAAACGUAGGAGACGAGCGUUAUCCGGAUUUAUUGGGCGUAAAGCGCGUGCAGGCGGUCUGGUAAGUUGGAUGUGAAAGCUCCUGGCUUAACUGGGAGAGGUCGUUCAAAACUGCUAGACUAGAGAAUGGGAGAGGGAGGUGGAAUUCCGGGUGUAGUGGUGAAAUGCGUAGAUAUCCGGAGGAACACCAGUGGCGAAAGCGGCCUCCUAGACCAUUUCUGACGCUAAGACGCGAAAGCUAGGGUAGCAAACG